CUGCAUACUAAAACAUGUUUCCGACAUAUCAAUAGUAAUAGCUAGCGUUGAUAAUUUAUUUCUCAAUGAUGAGCAAUGGAUCAUUGGACACAAAAGAUUACAAGCUUUUGGAAGAAUUUGCAACCAAUAAUCUACUUUUUCAUAAUCUCCAUAUGAAAUUCCAAAGCCAUGUGUCUGUACUUUUUGGGUUGACAUGCUUUUCACUUAAGAAUAAUAAAACCUAUCACACGCACUUGUAACACGAAAUAUUUCAACAAAGAUAUUUUCAUAUGAUGAUGAUAAUUAUGAUUUGUGACAAACUGAUUUGUAUUAUCAAUUAUAACUCCACAGGAUUGCUAUUCAUAAAAGAUUGAAACAGGUGGUUGUUUGGAAUCUUGCAAGACUGUGCAGCGAGUCUAGUCCACUUUGGCAACUGCAAUAGGUCCGAGGCUUUCAUCAAACUACCGCAAGACUCGUCGUCUAUCUCAGUUUUAGUCGAUCCCAGCAGGAUCUGAACCCACCUCGCAUUGCCCAAGUCUUCCGGAUUUUUUAGAAGCUUUAGACGGCUGGUACAGUUGAAGUCUGACUUUCUUGUUCAUGUGAGAUGUCCCAUUUAUUCCGAC